rnacentral:rRNA from 1 species
AUUGAACGCUGGCGGCAUGCCUUACACAUGCAAGUCGAACGGUAACAGGUCUUCGGAUGCUGACGAGUGGCGAACGGGUGAGUAAUACAUCGGAACGUGCCUAGUAGUGGGGGAUAACUACUCGAAAGAGUGGCUAAUACCGCAUGAGAUCUACGGAUGAAAGCAGGGGAUCGCAAGACCUUGUGCUACUAGAGCGGCCGAUGGCAGAUUAGGUAGUUGGUGGGAUAAAAGCUUACCAAGCCGACGAUCUGUAGCUGGUCUGAGAGGACGAUCAGCCAAACUGGGACUGAGACACGGCCCAGACUCCUACGGGAGGCAGCAGUGGGGAAUUUUGGACAAUGGGCGAAAGCCUGAUCCAGCAAUGCCGCGUGCAGGAUGAAGGCCUUCGGGUUGUAAACUGCUUUUGUACGGAACGAAAAGCCCCGGGUUAAUACCCUGGGGUCAUGACGGUACCGUAAGAAUAAGGACCGGCUAACUACGUGCCAGCAGCCGCCGUAA